rnacentral:rRNA from 1 species
CAAUAGCGUAUAUUAAAGUUGUUGCAGUUAAAAAGCUCGUAGUUGAAUUUCUGGUGGGCGCGCCGGUCUUCCAAGUGUUGUACUGGGCGCAGUCCGCCAUCCUUGUGGAGAGGGCUCGCAUUGAGUUGCGUGUCGGAUCUGCAUCAUUUACUGUGAAAAAAUUAGAGUGUUUAAAGCAGGCUGUCGCUUGAAUACAUUAGCAUGGAAUAAUAAGAUAGGACCUCGGUCUAUUUUGUUGGUUGCGAACCGAGGUAAUGAUUAAUAGGGAUAGUUGGGGGUAUUCAUAUUUAAUUGUCAGAGGUGAAAUUCUUGGAUUUAUGAAAGAUGAACAACUGCGAAAGCAUUUACCAAGGAUGUUUUCAUUAA